rnacentral:rRNA from 1 species
GUGGGGAAUAUUGGGCAAUGGGGGAAACCCUGACCCAGCAACGCCGCGUGAGGGAAGAAGGUUUUCGGAUUGUAAACCUCUGUCCUUGGUGACGAAGGAAGUGACGGUAACCAAGGAGGAAGCCCCGGCUAACUACGUGCCAGCAGCCGCGGUAAUACGUAGGGGGCAAGCGUUGUCCGGAAUGACUGGGCGUAAAGGGCGUGUAGGCGGCCGAUUAAGUCUGGAGUGAAAGUCCUGCUUUCAAGGUGGGAAUUGCUUUGGAGACUGGUUGGCUUGAGUGCGGAAGAGGUAAGUGGAAUUCCCAGUGUAGCGGUGAAAUGCGUAGAUAUCGGGAGGAACACCAGUGGCGAAGGCGGCUUCCUGGCACAAUACUGACGCUCAUGUGCGAAAGCUAGGGCAGCGAACGGGAUUAGAUACCCCUGUAGUCC